CGCUGAGGCGGAGGGGUCAGGGCGGGUCCUGCUCCCUGUCCCGCUCCUUGUCCCUCUCCCUUCCCGGGCUCCCACCCUCAUCCACAGCCCCAGGAGGCACAGGGCGGGCACGGAGAGCCUCCCUGCCCAGCCCUGCGUGUUUCCCCCAGCCCCGGAGCCUCCUGAGGGCUCGGCGGGCGGGCGGGAUGUGACCCAUCCCCGAGCCUGGAGGUCACUGGUACUCCGUUGGCCAUGGAGAGCUGCAUCCCACAGGGAGGAGCCCGCCCGGCAUCCCAGGCGCCUUCCCUGCCCGAGGGGAUGAGCCAGGAGCCUCGCGGAGAGCUGGGAUUGCCUGGGAUACCGCAUGGAAUGUGUCCCAAGUGCCCCGUGGAGGGCUGGGAUAACCCGGCAGGAGACGUGGGAUUCACCCCCCACCAGCAGGAUGGAGGGGAACGCCCGGGAAAACGCCGCUGGAACGCUGCAUGGGAUGGAGCCAACAGUGCCCGGCUGCUGGAAAACUCGGUGCCUGUUUCCCUCUGGAAAAAUCCCAGAGGAUGGGCAGGAACAGCCCGAGGCUGCCGCGCCUUUUCCCCCGCUCCCAGGGCGAGGGGACGGUGUUUCGCACCCUUCUGAGCCGCCCAAAGAGCUGAAAUCCAAGGAUUUAAACCUCCCCGAGCGCCGCACGCCCCGGGCUUUGCAUCUGGGUUUGUUUGAGCUGGAGGUUUAUUGGUGCUUUUAAGGAAUCCAGUCGCCAUCUGCCGGCAAAUGUGGCUGCUCUGGGGGGAAAUUCGGGAUUUAAGGGCAGUUUCUGUGAUUUCCUGGGUGGAAAUGAGGAUUUUUAGGAUGCUUGAAGGGGCAGGUGGGUUUGGAGUGAGGAAAAUGAAAUGCAGAUCCCACCCCAGACACCUCUGCGUCGCGCAGAGCUUAAAAUAAUACAUCAGCGUGGGGAAUAUCUUGGGGGUAAAUGAGAUAAAUUGAAUAAAUUAGAGGUUUU